AUGAGCGCCGUUUUUUUAAUCUUUGAACUCUGCCCUCCUCCCCGGCUCCGCGGCCAAACCCGAGGAAAAAAAAAAAAACACUUUCAAACCGAGCCCCCACCCGCACCCCUCGCCGGCCCCACCACCCUUGCUAGGGCAAAUUCUUGUGCGGGGCGUCCCCUCGCUGGGUCUCGGUCCCCGAAUGUACAGCGGAUGGCUCCUCACCCCCUCCCACCCCCAGCCCCACGCGGGACCCCCGGGAUCGCGGGACAGUGGGGUCUUCGGGGAGGUCGGUUGGGGACAGUGCUCCUCAAAGCCCCCCGCCAAGUCCCCGCCAGACGACAGACCCCCUUCUGGGCGACAGACGGACCUGGGGCUCAGAGCCCUCCCUUCCUGAUGCGGAGGUUGCGGGGCGGAGGGUCUGCUCGGUGCCCGGUGCCGGCUCGCAGCCGGGAACCACUCCCGCCGCCGGCCGCGUUGCCGGGUGAGCCGUCUCCCCCCUCCCCCAAUCCCCACCGCGCACCGCCGUCCCCGCAGCGUGACCUGGACCUCCCGUCCUCCAGGGGGCGCUGCCCUGGCCCGGCCCGCAGACCGACCCUCCGAGUGGAUAGGCCGGGGCGGAGCCGCGGGAAGACACGGGGACCCGCGGAGCCGCGAGCCGGAGCUGCCCGGUCCGGCCCGGCCCACCCCGCCCUGCCGCCACCAUGUUCAACCAGCAGCAGCAGUUCCAGCAGCUCCAGCAGCAGCAGCUUCAACAGCAGCAGUUGCUGCAGCUUCAGCAGCUGCUCCAGCAGUCCCCACCGCAGGCCCCACUGCCCAUGACCGUCAGCAGGGGUCUCCCCCAGCAGCAGCCACAGCAGCAGCUCCUGACUCUCCAGGGGACCAGCCCCACCUCCCUCCUCAACGGCUCUGUGCUGCAGAGAGCUUUGCUUCUGCAGCAGUUACAAGGUAUGGCUGCGGGCUCACUGAAUCUCAUCCAAGCCACACAGCAACUCUGAGAGGGAGCUACUGUCAAUAUCCCAGUUUACAGAUGAGGGCACUGAGGCUCUGGGAGGUGGAAGUCCCUAGGUUGCUCAGCUGAAUGCAGGUCUGUCUGAUCACAGAGGAGUGCCCUUGGCCGUGGUGCUAGCUCUGUGGGCGCUACUCAGCACAUAUUUUGCUGACAUUGAGAGAUUAGAUGAUAUGAUGGAUGGAAAGAUCUAUUUUGACCACCCUCCUUUGCAUCCUGUUUGACAGAUGAGGACACUGAGGUCCAGAGAAGGGAAGUCAUUCUCCCUGGGUCACACAGUAUCAGCAAUGGCUGAGCUAGAUGGAGGCCUGGGCCUCCUGACCCCUGGAUCUCUGAGUAGGUGUCUCUAGCCCUCUGCAUUAAGCCUGUGCCCUCACCCGGGUUUCUCCACGUGGAGAGUAGUUUUUCAGCUUUUCUUUCCAUGAUGCUGCUCCCAAUACUUCAGCCACUGUGGGAGGAGGCAGGGGUCCAGAGACAUGGAGCCAGCUCUUCUUCAGACCUAGCCCCUCCCACAGGGUAGCUGUGACAUGCUGACUGGUCCUUCAGGGCUGAGCACUAUGCUGAGCCCCUUACAAAUCCAGUUUCUUGACUCUGCUGACAACCCUAAGGGGAGAUACACUCAUGGCCCCAUUUUACAGAUGAAGAAACUGAGGCCCAGGUGUUGAUUAGAGGUCUUACUACAGAGCUUUGUUCUGAGACACCGGGCUAUCCUGCCUCCCAGCAGGGUAUGCAGCCAGGUCAGAAGAUGUGAUAUUGUCACUCUUCAGCCCUCCCGUUGCCACAUGGGUGUGGAUGAUCCUAGGAGCCGGCUUAUACAUUAUAGAGGGAUGGAUAGAGAGAUAAGACCACAUACGGAAACCCACAAUGUUUACAUUUUUUUUCCACUCUUUUCUUUCUCAUUUUAAAAGUCACACUUCAAAGAGCAAAAGAAAUAUUUUAAAAAGAGGACAAGAAAAUCCAAAUCAUAUGUAGACUCACUUCUAAAGAAAAAGAAUACCCAUUAAAGUGUUGGUAUAUUUCCUCCCAUUUUUUUUCUCGCACAGAAUUGGGGCUUUAUAUAUGACUGUGAUUACUGAUAUACAUGAAAAGCUGUAUUUUGUUUGUUUUUCACUGAGCAGAAUGGCUUGUUCAUUUACCAUAUGAUUUGACAGUUCUAUAAAGAUUAUUUUUAACAGCUGUUUAAUAUUCCUCUGGAGGUGUGUGCCCUUAUGUCCCUAAACUUUCUCAGCUGUUUCCUUCUUCUACUUCUUUUCUUUCUCUUUUUUGCUGCUUUAAAUAAUGGGGUGAAUAUCAUGUUUGAGAAUAUUUUCUUAGAAUGGAUUCCCAAAAGUAGAAUGACUGGGUCAGGGAGGAUGGGUGUUUUAUGGUUCUUGAUAAGUAUUGCCAAAUUGCUUUCUCAAAGGACUGGACCAAUUUGCAAUGCCACCAGCCACGUAUGACAGUGCCAGUUUCACCAUGCCCACGGCAACACUGGGUAUUAUACUCUUUUCUAAUAUAUAUGUGUAUAUACAUCUAGUCUAAUUGCUUGGCAAAAAAGCUAUAUCACUAACGCUUUAGUUUACAUUUCUUGGAGUGCUUUUAGUCACAUUUCUUAGUGCGCUUGAACAUUUCUCUGUGUCUGCUGAACGUUUGUAAUUCAUGUUGUGACUUGUCCAUGUUCUUUGUCCAUUUCUCUUUUAGAGUGUGCCAUCUUUUAUCUCACUGUUUAAGAGCUGGCUGGCGUUCUCUCUGCACAUACGUGUAUAUGUUUUUAAGUUAAUGAUCACAAAAUGCUUAGUAAAUACCAGGCACACUUGUAUAUUUCACUGAAUCCUCAUAAAACAUUGAGUCAAGCACUAUUACUAUACCCAUUUUAUAGAUGAGGGAACUGAGGCUAAGACAGGGAAACUUAUUUGCUCAGGGUCACAGAACUUGUACUGUGGAACCUGCAUUUGAACCAUUUCUCCCAGCACAUCUGACCCAUACAUGCCUGUAACCCCUGGGUUUCCCAUCCCAGCACUGGGGCAAGGAUUUAAACUGUCCUUUAUUGGAUCAGAUACUUCCCCAGUGCUCUGAAUCAGAUGAAGUGCCUGCCCUUAAGGAGUUCCCAGGGUGGUUAAGUGGUGGACAGUGGGAAGUGGACAAGGAAAUUGUGCAGCUGGCCUGGGAACAGGGAAGCUGGGUUUCUAGGGACAGAGAGAGGGUCUGAGAAGCCCUCUCAAAGGAGAAUCACCUAAAGGGAGGAAUGAAGGAUGACUGGUUAUGCAGAGGCAGAACACACCAAGCAGAAGAAAGAGCAUGUGCAAAGGCCCAGAGGCAGGCAGACCCAGGCUUGUUUGAGGCAGACCCAUGCAUGGGAGCGUGUGGAUGGAGCACAGUAGGUGUGUGUGAGAGAACUGCAAGAGAGGGGGUCAAGGGGAGUAGGGCUGGACCUUGCAGAGUGAGGAGUGGGCUUCCUUCCUGAGCAUCAGGAAGCUAUGGAUGGGUUCAGCAGAGGGAAGGGCAAAGUCAGAAUGUGAUUUUUAGAAGGAUCACAGUACAGAGACUGUGGCUGAAAUUCACACGUGGGAUGAAGCGGCUUUGGAAGGAGGAGGGGCGAUAGGAGUGGAGAUCCGAAGGGGAGUCAGGCUAGAGGAGGGUAAGGGUCAGGGUUAAGAGAAAUGAUGUUGGCUCAUAUGGGGGAGGGUAAAGAGAGAGGGGAGUCGGGAGGACCCCCAGAGUCCCACCUGGGAGCCAGUGAGUGGACAGCAGUGCCGCUCCCAAAGAUCCUGGACAAGCCACUCCUUCACUUUGUGUCUGUUUAUCAUCAGUAGAGAGGAUAAUAAUUACCCUGAAGGUGGCUGGGUGGUGUGACUAAGGCUGUUUUUAGCAAGUGCCCAGUCACCAAAAGACAUUUCCUUUUUUAAAAAAUAUUUAUUUAUGUAUUUGACAGCACCAGGUCUUAGCUGUGGUCUGUGGGAUCUAGUUCCCUGACCAGGGAUGGAACCCAGGCCCCCUGCAUUGGGAACGUGGAGUCUUAACCCCUGGACUUCCAGGGAGGUCCCCAGGAGACUUUUGAUGAGGGGUAGCUGGUGUUGGUAGGAGAGUUAUCUUGUUAUUCCAGAGACCAAUCAUCUUGCUGGUUCUCCCUUUGGCUCCUGUGCUGAAUCUUUUAUAUACCUGAAAGUGUACCCUAAAGCAUGCAUGGGGGUGAGCAGAGUUUCUGGGGGUGCCCAAGCCACUGACUAGGGAGGCAUUUGAGGAGGGAAAAGGGCCCCUUCCCUCACAAGCUGGAGAAGAAAACCAGCCUGAAAGCCCCCUCCCACCAGUGCUUCAGGUGGGACUGGGCCUUCAGUUCUCAUCUCUUCCCCUCUGGCUGCCCUUGGGUGUGAACAGUCCCCUUUGAAGUUAUCCGUGAUGCCCCCAUAAUGCUUGGGGGCACUGACCCCUGACCCUAACCUUUACCACCCGACCACAGUUGUAACCCCCCUUCUGCUCUCUUUUCACCCACAGGUAACCUCCGUGGCUACAACCUGGCCACCCCCAACCUGACACCCCCCAGCCUCACACCUCCACAGCUGGCCACCCCAAAUCUCCAGCAAUUCUUUCCUCAGGCCACUCGGCAGUCCCUGCUGGGUCCUCCUCCCGUCGGGGUCCCCAUCAACCCCUCCCAGCUCAACCUUUCAGGGCGAACCCCCCAGAAACAGACUCGGACCUCCUCCUCUACGACCCCCAAUCGCAAG
rnacentral:lncRNA from 1 species